AGCCAUGUUGAAACAUCAGUUCUCGUCUGAUCACCGAAGAUAAGCAACUUUGAGCCUGGUCAGUAUUCAGAUGGGUGACUGGAGAAUACCAAGUGUGUU